UCCCUGGUAGUCUAGUGGUUAGGAUGCAGUGCUUUCACUGCUGCAGCCCUGGUUCAACCCCUGCUCUGGGAA
rnacentral:tRNA from 1 species